rnacentral:ncRNA from 2 species
AGAAGUCCGAGGAUGCUGCACGGCUGUUGCCCGAGCUGUAAAAGGCCAGGCGACCGCCUAAAAGGAAAGGGGUGCAAUUCCCCACGCGACCGGCACUGUAAGCGCAAGGAUAUGAUCGAGGCAGCUAAGCUGCUGGGGUGAAAACCCGUCAUUGCGAGAAAUUCGUGAGAAGACAGAUCAUAAACGCAGAGAAGAAAUCUCAAGGCGCAAGCCAGUAGAAUUGUGUAGUUAGGACUCAAAGG